GACGAACGCUGGCGGCGUGCUUAACACAUGCAAGUCGAACGAUGAACCCGGAGCUUGCUCCGGUGGAUUAGUGGCGAACGGGUGAGUAACACGUGAGUAACCUGCCCUUGACUCUGGGAUAACUGCGGGAAACUGUAGCUAAUACCGGAUACGACCCUCGGCAGCAUUGCCAGGGGGUGGAAAGAAUUUCGGUCAAGGAUGGACUCGCGGCCUAUCAGCUAGUUGGUGAGGUAACGGCUCACCAAGGCGACGACGGGUAGCCGGCCUGAGAGGGUGACCGGCCACACUGGGACUGAGACACGGCCCAGACUCCUACGGGAGGCAGCAGUGGGGAAUAUUGCACAAUGGGCGCAAGCCUGAUGCAGCAACGCCGCGUGAGGGAUGACGGCCUUCGGGUUGUAAAGCUCUUUCGGCCGGGAAGAAAUCGCAUGGGCUAAUACCCUGUGUGGAUGACGGUACCGGAAUAAGAAGCACCGGCUAACUACGUGCCA
rnacentral:rRNA from 1 species